rnacentral:rRNA from 1 species
AGAGGGACUGCUCCCUGAUGUCAGCGGCGGACGGGUGAUUAACACGUGGGUAACCUGCCUGUAAGACUGGGAUAACUCCGGGAACCGGGGCUAAUACCGGAUGCUUGAUUGAACCGCAUGGUUCAAUUAUAAAAGGUGGCUUUUACCUACCACUUACAGAUGAACCCGCGGCGCAUUAC